rnacentral:lncRNA from 1 species
UAUUCACCCUUUGUUUAAUAUUAUUAAAUUCCCAUUUUGCCCCUAACACUUCAACAUAUCUACUGUUAUGCCAUUAACUUUUGAUUCCUUCCAAUUUUACCCCUUAUAUCAAUUUUAAAGGACUAUUCUAUCCCUUUUUAUAUAAAAAAAUAUUUUGGAAUUAUUACAUCUUCCCCCCUUAUAUAAAAUUCGUCCUCGAAUUUAAAAGAGUAAAUUACCUGAUUACUCAAUGAGGUGAGGGUAUUUGCUCUUCAUACUUUGCUCCGACUCCCAAGUGCAUUCUUCAACAUUGUGCCGGUGCCAUUGGACCUUCACCAUACAUAUUUCCUUAUUUCUUAGCUUCCUGAUCUGAGUAUCAAGGAUAGCUACAGGAAGUUCUUCAUAAGAAAGGUCUUCCUCUACUGUAACUUCCUGCACUGACAGCACAUGGGAUGGAUCUGGCACAUACUUCCGGAGCAUAGAUAUAUGGAAUACUAGAUACACAUGGCUGAGGUUUGGAGGCAGUGCUAAUCUAUAAGAUACAGUGCCAACCUUGUCUAAUAUCUCAAAGAGGCCAAUGUAUCUGGGACUAAGUUUGCCUCUUUUUCCAA